GGUAUGAGCAGGUUGCUAUAGGAGCUGAGCCAAGGCAGCCCCUACCUCUGGCCUGGGGGCAAGAGGAACCAUUAAAGAAAAUGUGAAACCUCUGAAACAGGCAGGGAUAAAAAGUGUCCCAGAGAUGGUUACACUAUGCGAGAAGUAAAUGGGAGGUGAGAAAAUGGAACCAAGUCAGUCCUAAGGCAGGAGAUUUGAGCUGACUAGGGGUCUUAUCACCAUGAAGAACUGACAAGUGGCCUAGGAGAGCACAGGAAGAGGAUGGUGACUGAAAGGUGAACACCAGAACAGUGAAGGUCAACAGACAUCUCUCCUCUUCAGAGAGAGAUGCAAGAACCCUAAAGCCUGGGCCAAAGCUUCUCCGCAGCUGUAAUGGUUUCCUGAAGCUGGAGAUUUUGCCUCGACUCCUAGACCCAGUCCUCCUUCUACACUUUAGAGUUCCCGGGGAUGCCAAUUCUCUCUUUAUGAAGCACAACAAAUCAACUCCCUCAAACUCCACUGUAAGUAAGCCAACCCAAAUCUCAAAAUGUUCACCUAAAUAAAAUACUCUUUGUCCAUUUAUGAGCUCAGAACAGCAGUGGAGAUCUUGAGUUUUCCUUUAGAAGGUUUAUCCACCUUCCUUGAGAACGUAAUGGUUUGAAAAGCUUUUGUUUUUCUUCUUAUACCCCAGAAAUCUCUGUGAUUUAUUGUUCUGAUGACCAUUCUGACUGCAUGCUUUUGGGAAGGCUUUUUGGAGUGGCUGAGUCUUGUGGGGGGGGCCGGAAAGUAGGAUUCUGACAAAUGUAUUUCUUUUCUCCAUUGCAGCUAAAAUCCAGGCUAGCUGGGCAUGGUUAACAGUGU
rnacentral:lncRNA from 1 species